AAGGGAAACAUGACACGGGGUGGUGAAAGGCGAAGAAAAGAAGAGUGAAACGCUCGCAGAGCAGAGUCGAACGACGGUGUCGUCGUGUCGUGUCGUAGGAUUUGCCUUUAAGCUGGAGAUUUUUGACUAAUUAAAACUCAAGACGUCUUGACACCAAUUACCUCAUCUGUUGCAAAAUCCUCUGGAUGCAAGAUGGAUGAUGGCCGCUCACGUGAAAAUGGUAGGCAUAAGAUGGAAUACUACAGAGGAGCACAUUCCCUGUGGAAUACAGAUACCCAGCAUCAAGUAAAGGAGCCAAAUGCACUGGUUAUGAAUAAGAAAAUUAGGUCCAUUAUGGCUGAGAGGCAGGCUGCCAUUCUAGAACUUGAAUUAGAAGCUGCUAUAUCUGAAAAGAACGAAGCCUUGGCUGCUCGAGAUGCAGCCCUUCGGCAGAGGGAUGAAGCACUUGCUCAGAGGGAUAAUGCCCUAUUGGAGCGGGAUAAUGCCCUUGCAGCCCUUCAAAAUCGGAGCAAUGCUGUCAACUUCCCAUUUGGCGCUGGAAUUCAACGUGGAUCAAAGCGGAUGCACCAUUCUUCCAACCAUCUAUCUAACAUGACAGAAGCUGCAUACAGCACAAAGGAUAUGAUAAUAAGGGAUGCCUCCCCAGUGACUGUUAUACCUUCUGAAGGUGUCAAAUCUCAUCAAGCAAAGAGAACAAAGGAGAACAAGGUUAUUAACUCCAAGGCAUCAAAGCCACCUAGCAAAGUAAAGAAAAUGGGUGAGGAUUUAAAUAGGCAGGCAUCUUCUGAAGGGACAAAGUUCAGAUCUGAAUGGGAUAGGCAGGAUGUUGGCUUGAAUUUGGUUGCGUUUGAUGAAACCAUCAUGCCGGUCCCAGUUUGCACAUGCACCGGAGUACCACGACAGUGCUACAAAUGGGGGAAUGGCGGAUGGCAGUCAUCUUGUUGUACCACCACAUUGUCAAUGUAUCCACUACCACAGCUUCCACACAAGCGCCAUGCCCGCAUUGGAGGGCGAAAGAUGAGUGGAAGUGUCUUUACACGGCUUCUCAGUAGGUUGGCAUCAGAAGGGCAUGAUUUGUCUAUACCAUUGGAUCUUAAGGAAUACUGGGCCAGACAUGGAACAAAUCGCUACAUUACUAUCAAGUAGCUUGAUGACAUUCAUUUGUAUCAACUCUUGUUCCAUUUUGAACCCCUUGGACCGGCCUUUAAUUGAAAUCAAGCCUUGAUCAAAGCACGCUUGAAUGCACGCAUAAAUUUCCAUGACGAGGUCAUCUUGGAAUCUUCUUUAUUAGUUUUCCUCCCUUUGUCUCUGGCAGCAUGACUCACAACAGAACCAGAAGGUUUUGAAUCAAAUAUGGUUGAGCCAGAGGAAGUUUCAGUGGCUCCAAAAGAAACAGCUCCGUUAUUUGAUGCAUCCGUUGGAUAUCCAACAGCUCCAUCCUGAUGAGGAGGUGGGAAUUUCUCACUCUUGCUUUUUGCAUUUGCAUGAUUUACAACUCUCCACCUCUGAAAACCAGUGAAAAAAACACAUGUAAUAUUGCUCAAGGAAGACAAUAAGACAAUGCUGAAGUGGAAAGCUUGAGUGAUCAUGAGAGGGACCAUCAGAUCAAACAAAAUUUAUCCCAAAGUUCUAUAAAUUGAGAGAACAGAAGAGAAAUAUCACCAAAAAUAUAUUUGAAAUGCCCAAGCUAGCAUAAGGUAAGAGAAUCCUAAGCAACAGAUGCUAAAGAAUAUAGGUCUCAAGUUCGUAACAGCCUUAUAAUUAAUAGAAUUUAUCAUGAAAAUAUGCAAUUGUCGAGGUAUCAUGCAUCUUAAUUUAAGAAUAUAGAGUAAAAAGGAAGGUCUGACUCAAAUAUUUACAUAAAAAUGUGUGCAAGAACUUGGUUGUUUAGAAGGAACAGAGGAACAGACCAUUAAAGUAUUAAACUCAACAAUAGCAUAACAAAGCGUGGUUAAGUAGGUAUGGGGGAGAAGACAAACAUAACAGAAACAUCGGGCAUACAUCUAAGUUCGUUUGGAUCUCUGCAUUGGCUUCUGGGGCCGGAAUGGCCAAACUACGCUCACGUACUCUAACUCUUCUGGCACCAUCUACUGCAUUACCUUUUCCACUUAGAGCUUUCUGCCUGCGAAUGGUAUAAAAAAAUAGAAACUUUAAUGGGCACCAACACAAAAUCAGCCUAGAAGUUAUCCAAGACAAAACAGAACCUUCUUGCUUCUUCGUCUCUCAAUUUUACAUCCAAUUCUUUGGUGGGAGGAUACUUUGGUAAACUCAAUGGUUCACAAGCAUAGGGCUCGGUGGUAAAGAACUGCAGAUAGAAAACAGAUGUGAACACAUUACAUCUCAAAUAUAAUGCUAAUCCACAAUGAUUACUCACUUCACUAUUUAUAGCAUCUGAGGUAGUGCCACGAUCAUCAGGAUCUAUUGCAAGAAGAGUUUCAAUUAGAGGUAAUGAAGAAGAUGGGAAGUCCUUGAACAUUUCUAAGAUGCAUCUUUUAUACGGUUGCUGUGGCUUAAAGAGUGUAGCAUUUGGCAAUCUAUAUUUUUUCCAAUAUGCCUCAGAUGGAGAGCCGCAUAACUUAAAUAUUUUGUGCAGCUGCUCAACCUAGUGUCCAAGGAUCCAAAAAUCAGACAUAAAUUCAAGAAAUAUACAUUGCAAGGCUGAUCAAUCACAUCUGCUCAGUGAUCCAACAGUAUCAUUGGUUAGUGCUAUUAACUGAUCAACAGACAAAGUAAUCAGGCUGAUGAAACAGUCCAGCAUAAGCCCCCUGUUUUCCCAAAUUAGCUGGUGAUUCAAGAACUUCACAAUAAAAUGGACAAAAACAAAGAAAGGUGAUUUUGAGGUAUGGAAAAACUACGAACCAAAAGCAUGCUGUUGCAUCAAGAAAGGUGCGUAAUAUAAUAGAGAACAGAUAAGAAGUCAUCGCAGUUAGUAAAUAUUGGUACAAAGGCCAAAGCUACUCGUGAAACAACACAAAGAGCAGUACCUCUGUUCGUCCAGGCAUGAUUGGCUUUCCAGCAAGCAGUUCUGCCAAGAUGCAGCCAGCACUCCAAAGGUCGAUGCCAACACCAUAGGAUGUAGCCCCAAGAAGAAGCUCAGGGGGGCGAUACCAUAGGGUCACAACUCUACUAGUCAUGGGAUGCUUUUGCUUAGAAUCAUAGAAAGUUGCCAAUCCAAAAUCUGCAAUUUUAAGUAUUCCUUCAUUGUCAAUAAGCAGAUUGGAACCCUUAAUAUCACGGUGCAAAACACCUCGGCUGUGGCAAUGUUCAAGGCCAGACAGCAAUUGCUUCAUAUAGCAUUUGGCCUGUAAUAUAGAACAUACUGAGAAACAAUCAGCCUUUCAGUACAUUUUCUUUCAUUUUAAAUAUGAAGGAUUUUCCCACCCUUCUAUUCUAAUUGACACUUGAAAAGGCACCACUGCUUCACAUAACUUCACCUUGUACUA